UGUUUGUAUUGAUGAGGCUGAUACGUGUUUAAACUCCAUAUUAAUUUUAAUAAUAAUGAAAAAACUUUCAGAUCCAUUAAUAGUAAUUUACGCAACUAGUUCGGGAUAGCCUGCUUCCCGCAUGAACGCUUGUUUGAGGCACGACCGAAGGGAGUGCCGCAUUUGCGUGAAUGCGGGAAGCAGGCUCACGAACGUGUUGUGUACAAUAUUUUUUGCGACGAAUAAACCUUUAAACUGAA